rnacentral:rRNA from 1 species
AGCUCCAAUAGCGUAUAUUAAAGUUGCUGCAGUUAAAAAGCUCGUAGUUGGAUUUCUGACCUGAAACACUUUGCCGGCCACGGUUUCGUGUGUUAGUGCUUUGUGUUCUGGUCAUCCUUCCAAUCGCUAUCAGCUUUCUUCAUUGAUUGUUGAGUGGUAUUGGAUCUUUUACUUUGAAAAAAUUAGAGUGUUUCAAGCAGGCUUAUGCUAUGAAUACAUUAGCAUGGAAUAAUAAUUUAGGACUUCGGUUCUAUUUUGUUGGUUUCUAGAACUGAAGUAAUGAUUGAUAGGGACAGUUGGGGGUGCUAGUAUUCAGCGGCCAGAGGUGAAAUUCUCGGAUUCGCUGAAGACUAACUUAUGCGAAAGCAUUCACCAAGGAUGUCUUCU